GAAUUCGCCCUUAGAGUUUGAUCCUGGCUCAGGACGAACGCUGGCGGCGCGCCUAACACAUGCAAGUCGAACGGAGUCAAGAGGAGCUUGCCUUUCUUGACUUAGUGGCGAACGGGUGAGUAACGCGUGAGUAACCUGCCCUGGAGUGGGGGACAACAGUUGGAAACGACUGCUAAUACCGCAUAAGCCCACGAUCCGGCAUCGGAUUGAGGGAAAAGGAUUUAUUCGCUUCAGGAUGGACUCGCGUCCAAUUAGCUAGUUGGUGAGGUAACGGCCCACCAAGGCGACGAUUGGUAGCCGGACUGAGAGGUUGAACGGCCACAUUGGGACUGAGACACGGCCCAGACUCCUACGGGAGGCAGCAGUGGGGGAUAUUGCACAAUGGGGGAAACCCUGAUGCAGCGACGCCGCGUGAGGGAAGACGGCCUUCGGGUUGUAAACCUCUGUCUUCGGGGACGAAUAAAUGACGGUACCCGAGGAGGAAGCCACGGCUAACUACGUGCCAGCAGCCGCGGUAAUACGUAGGUGGCAAGCGUUGUCCGGAAUUACUGGGUGUAAAGGGAGCGUAGGCGGGGAGGCAAGUUGAAUGUCUAAACUAUCGGCUCAACUGAUAGUCGCGUUCAAAACUGCCACUCUUGAGUGCAGUAGAGGUAGGCGGAAUUCCUAGUGUAGCGGUGAAAUGCGUAGAUAUUAGGAGGAACACCAGUGGCGAAGGCGGCCUACUGGGCUGUAACUGACGCUGAGGCUCGAAAGCGUGGGUAGCAAACAGGAUUAGAUACCCUGGUAGUCCACGCCGUAAACGAUGAUUACUAGGUGUGGGGGGACUGACCCCUUCCGUGCCGGAGUUAACACAAUAAGUAAUCCACCUGGGGAGUACGGCCGCAAGGCUGAAACUCAAAGGAAUUGACGGGGGCCCGCACAAGCAGUGGAGUAUGUGGUUUAAUUCGAAGCAACGCGAAGAACCUUACCAGGUCUUGACAUCGAGUGACGAACUUAGAGAUAAGUUCUUCCUUCGGGACACGAAGACAGGUGGUGCAUGGUUGUCGUCAGCUCGUGUCGUGAGAUGUUGGGUUAAGUCCCGCAACGAGCGCAACCCUUAUCAUUAGUUGCUACGCAAGAGCACUCUAAUGAGACUGCCGUUGAUAAAACGGAGGAAGGUGGGGAUGACGUCAAAUCAUCAUGCCCCUUAUGACCUGGGCUACACACGUACUACAAUGGUGAUUAAACAGAGGGAAGCAACACAGCGAUGUGAAGCAGAACCCGAAAAAUCAUCUCAGUUCAGAUUGCAGGCUGCAACUCGCCUGCAUGAAGUCGGAAUUGCUAGUAAUCGCGGAUCAGCAUGCCGCGGUGAAUACGUUCCCGGGCCUUGCACACACCGCCCGUCA
rnacentral:rRNA from 1 species